AGGGAACAGGAAAAAAGAUGUGGAAAAACUCCUGGGAUGGGAUUUAAUUCCCAAAAUUUUUGAGCAGGAGGAGCAGAAUUCCGGGAAUUUGAGCUCGGGAUCAUCCCAGGGAGGAGACGAUGGGGGGAUUCCAUGGAGAAAAAGGGUGGAAAAACUCCUGGGAUGGGAUUUUUAAAGAGCGGAAUUCUGGGAAUUUGAGCUCGGGAUCAUCCCAGGGAGGAGACGAGGGGGAUCCCACAGAGAACAGAGCUGGAAAAACUCCUGGGAUGGGAUUUUAUUCCCAAGUCUUGGAGCAGGAGGAGCAGAAUUCUGGGAAUUUGAGCUCGGGAUCAUCCCAGGGAGGAGACGAGGGGAUUCCAUGGAGAAAAAGGGUGGAAAAACCCCUGGGAUGGGAUUUUAUUCCAAGAAAGAGCGGAAUUCCGGGAUUUUGAGCUCGGGAUCGUCCCGGGGAGGGAACAGGGGGAUCCCACAGAGAACAGAGCUGGAAAAACUCCUGGGAUGGGAUUUUAUUCCAACAUUUUGGAGCAGGAGGAGCGGAAUUCCGGGAAUUUGAGCUCGGGAUCAUCCCAGGGAGGAGACGAGGGGAUUCCAUGGAGAAAAAGGGUGGGAAAACUCCUGGGAUGGGAUUUUAUUCCAAGAAAGAGCGGAAUUCCGGGAUUUUGAGCUCGGGAUCGUCCCGGGGAGGGAACAGG